GGCCCUUCUGGUUGGUGGUAGAACGACCAUUACCUUCUGCAUUAAAAGUGGUUCUGCAGGGUGAAACGGUCGCCAGGAUGCUUCCCACUCAGGGAUGCUGUCACUUCCACUAACAUGACUGAGGACCUUCAUCCUGUGGUGGAAAGUGUCAAGAGCAGUGAAGACAGCACCGAGAGAGGCUGGGGAUGAAGAGAAGAUUAGGACACAGACACACACAGAGGAAAGACUAUGUGAAGACACAUGGUGAAGAUAGCCAUCUACAAGUCAAGGAGAGAAGUCCCGGAAGAAACUAACUCUGAUGCCCCCUUGAUCUCAUACUCUUGGCCUUCAGAUCUGUGAAAAACAAAUUUCUUUUGUUUAAA